rnacentral:rRNA from 1 species
AACGCGGCGGUGUGCCUAAUACAUGCAAGUCGAACGCUGAUGGUGCUUGCACCUGGUUGGCCCAAUUGAUAUUGAUUUUGGUCGCCAACGAGUGGCGGACGGGUGAGUAACACGUAGGUAACCUGCCCAGAAGCGGGGGACAACAUUUGGAAACAGAUGCUAAUACCGCAUAACAACGUUGUUCGCAUGAACAACGCUUAAAAGAUGGCUUCUCGCUAUCACUUCUGGAUGGACCUGCGGUGCAUUAGCUUGUUGGUGGGGUAACGGCCUACCAAGGCGAUGAUGCAUAGCCGAGUUGAGAGACUGAUCGGCCACAAUGGGACUGAGACACGGCCCAUACUCCUACGGGAGGCAGCAGUAGGGAAUCUUCCACAAUGGGCGCAAGCCUGAUGGAGCAACACCGCGUGAGUGAAGAAGGGUUUCGGCUCGUAAAGCUCUGUUGUUAAAGAAGAACACGUAUGAGAUUAACUGUUCAUACGUUGACGGUAUUUAACCAGAAAGUCACGGCUAACUACGUGCCAGCAGCCGCGGUAAUACGUAGGUGGCAAGCGUUAUCCGGAUUUAUUGGGCGUAAAGAGAGUGCAGGCGGUUUUCUAAGUCUGAUGUGAAAGCCUUCGGCUUAACCGGAGAAGUGCAUCGGAAACUGGAUAACUUGAGUGCAGAAGAGGGUAGUGGAACUCCUG